CCAGGAAUAAUGCUCGCUCCGAAAGUAGAGUGGGAUGAAGAGAUAGUACAAACAAUAUGAAAUAUCUCAUCUGGAAUAUCCCACCUGAGAGACUUCAGGAGUAGAAAUGAACAUACUUGAGUAAUAAAUCAAACCCUCAGGAAAUGUAAACGCUUGAGAAUGGAAUUCAAUGAGCACAGAUCCACAGCACUAGCAAGCAGAGGUAAAGGAAAGCAAUUUCC
rnacentral:lncRNA from 1 species